rnacentral:tRNA from 1 species
GCCCGGGUGGCGGAAUCGGUAGACGCAGGGGGCUUAAACCCCCCGGGAGGGAAACCUCCAUGCGGGUUCAACUCCCGCCCCGGGCACCA